rnacentral:rRNA from 1 species
UAAGCAUAUCAAUAAGCGGAGGAAAAGAAACCAACAGGGAUUGCCCUAGUAACGGCGAGUGAAGCGGCAACAGCUCAAAUUUGAAAUCUGGCUCUUUAGGGCCCGAGUUGUAAUUUGUAGAGGAUGCUUUUGGCGCGGUGCCUUCCGAGUUCCCUGGAACGGGACGCCUUAGAGGGUGAGAGCCCCGUACGGUUGGACACCAAGCCUCUGUAAAGCUCCUUCGACGAGUCGAGUAGUUUGGGAAUGCUGCUCUAAAUGGGAGGUAAAUUUCUUCUAAAGCUAAAUAUUGGCCAGAGACCGAUAGCGCACAAGUAGAGUGAUCGAAAGAUGAAAAGCACUUUGAAAAGAGGGUUAAAUAGCACGUGAAAUUGUUGAAAGGGAAGCGUUUGCGACCAGACCUUUUCCUAGCGGAUCAUCCGGUGUUCUUCGCCGGUGCACUUCGCUAGGUCGAGGCCAGCAUCGGUUUCUGCAGGGGGAUAAAAGCCCAGGGAACGUAGCUCUUUCGGGAGUGUUAUAGCCCUCCGCAUAAUACCCUUGCGGGGACCGAGGACCGCGCUUUUUGCAAGGAUGCUGGCGUAAUGGUCGUCAACGACC